rnacentral:rRNA from 1 species
AGCGAACGCUGGCGGCGUGCCUAACACAUGCAAGUCGAACGUGAAAAGGGAAACCUGAGUAAAGUGGCGUACGGGUGAGUAACGCGUAGGUAAUCUACCCCAGAAUCUGGAAUAACCUGCCGAAAGGCGGGCUAAUACUGGAUAGAGCGAGGGAACUCGUAAGAGAGUUUUUCGGGAAAGGGAGCCCGCAAGGGCCUUCGUUCUGGGAUGAGCCUGCGUCUCAUUAGCUAGUUGGUAAGGUAACGGCUUACCAAGGCGAUGAUGAGUAGCCGGUCUGAGAGGAUGAUCAGCCACACUGGAACUGAAACACGGUCCAGACUCCUACGGGAGGCAGCAGUGGGGAAUCUUGCGCAAUGGACGAAAGUCUGACGCAGCCACGCCGCGUGAGUGAAGAAGGCCUUCGGGUUGUAAAGCUCUGUCGGAUGGGACGAACAUCUUCAUAGUGAAUAGCUAUGAGGACUGACGGUACCAUCAAAGGAAGCACCGGCUAACUCCGUG